UUAUGUGAUUUUAUACCUCCUUAUCAAAAUUAUGUAAGCAUACAAAACAAUUACAUUUUAGACAGCCCUAAAUCUUUUCCUGAUGUCAGAACACACUCCUGUUUCAUUUGUAAAAGUGAACAGUGAACUGUGUUUUGACACCAAAUGACUUUGGAAUUCAACAGCUCGUAAACAUGACCCCCUCUGAGUCAAGUUUAUGAACUGCUGAAUUCCAAAUGACCUUUGGAAUUCGUGUGUCAGUGAAAUGGCAUGCAAACAAGGGAAAUAAAACAUCACCUCCAGAAGCAUACUUCAGUUUUGAUGGUUUUAAAUCGCUUAUUAUUCAAAUUCAAUCUUAUUCUAAUUUUAUCAUGUUCUCCGAUAUACUUUUAUGCACAUUUUGUAAAAAUUUCCAACCAAAUUUUUUUCUUGGAUGUAUAAUAUGCAAAUUACGAGGAUAAAUAUUCAAAAAUUCAUUUUCUCAUUAUAGUUAAAGGGAAAGAUUGAGGGUACAUUAAACACUAUAUAUUUUGAUACUAAUAUCAGAAUUUAUGACAUUU
rnacentral:lncRNA from 1 species